CCCUCAACACACACACACACCCUCAACACACACACACCCUCAACAACACACACACACCCUCAACAACACACACACCCUCAACAACACACACACCCUCAACAACACACACACCCUCAACAACACACUCAUCCUUUGCCUUAAUGAUAGUUUGCUAUGAGUCCGUUUGUGAUCCCAAUGCCAUUAAGUUCCUUAUCUGUUCCUGCAACCUCACACACCCUGUCUGUCUGAUCUCUGUGUGUGUGUGUGUGUGUGUGUGUGUGUGUGUGUGUGUGUGUGUGUGUGUGUGUGUGUGUGUGUGUGUGUGUGUGUGUGUGUGUGUGUGUGUGUGUGUGUGUGUGUGUGUGUGUGUGUGUGUGUGUGUGUGUGUGUGUGUGUGUGUGUGUAAGCGAAGGAGAGGUUUCACAGCUUACCUUUUCAUCUCUUUUAGUUAUCAUGGUUCCUCAUUGUUCCUCAUUACCUUCAUUGUGACAUAAGAGACGGUGACCUCUUCACUAGACACACUGGUCCUUCAUUGUGACAUCAGAGAUGGUGACCUCUUCACUAGACACACUGGUCCUUCAUUGUGACAUCAGAGACGGUAACCUUUUCAUUGUGACAUAAGACGGUAACCUCUUCACUAGACAGGGUAACAGUCUGUUCCAGAUUUGACCAACUUAUCCCACUAAUUAACAUUACCACUAGCUUGGCAACUUGUUGUUGGAUGCAGAAGCAGUCUUGUACGAAUACCGUGGCUGAGAUUCAAUCGGAGGUGUGUUGUAGCACCCUUAACAUUUAAAGGUAAUAUCUGACUGAGCUGACAUAUGCAGCAUUUACCGUGAACACGCUGAGGAACACUGCCUUUAAAUGGGGCACUGUCAACAGAGGUCUACAACGUACCUCUGACUGAAUCCCUUCCUAUAUGUCCCUGUCAACAGAGGUCUACAACGUACCUCUGACUGAAUCCAGACCUAUAUGUCCCUGUCAACAGAGGUCUACAACGUACCUCUGACUGAAUCCAGACCUAUAUGUCCCUGUCAACAGAGGUCUACAACGUACCUCUGACUGAAUCCAGACCUAUAUGUCCCUGUCAACAGAGG